CAGGUUCCUUGAGCAAAAAAAUUCAAGGAUGAAAAGGGAAGCUCGGUGAAAAUCCGACACGGUCCCGCCACUGUGAAAGAGGAGUCAGCACUACAAAUUGCCACUGAUCGUCCAAAAAUUAGGAAGGCAAAUUGCUGAUAAUAUCCUCAAGUCAGGAUACCUGCCUGUUUCG
rnacentral:ncRNA from 1 species